CCAACAACUAUUCCUUUUCUAAGUCUCUGUCCAUAGUUUCUGCAAAUAUUGUUUUGUUUGGAAUUAAUAUGCAAUAAAACCAUUGCCAAAAUAUGCUGAUCAAGAGAGCAUCUUCUAAAUCAUUCGUCAAAUUUCAAUUCUCUCUAUGAUCGGCCUCUCCCUUGUUGGAUUAUGUUGUGCUUGAGGAUGUCGCUCGCGUGUUGGUGGGAGUGAUUGUUAUUCAUUGUUCAGAGUUAGUUUCUUCGCAUCAGAUUUUUCAAUGUUUCCAUUUUUUGUUUUAUAGGGUUUUAAUGAAGUGACCAUGAUGCUUCUCUGCAUGCUUAAUAAGUUAAAUAAAGGGAUUAGAACCUACAUUUCCCCCCGAAAAGUUUAUGCGCGGAAUAACUUCGAACUGUGAGGAACCCCUGGAAACCAUCCCACUGGCUCCACCAACCCUGCCCACUAAUAUCAAAGGAUGACGUUGCGAGAAUAAGAGAGGAGAAAUACCAUGUGUUUCUAAGGUUCUUUACCAAAAACCCACUAAUUUUGUUCUUAAGAUCAUCUGGUAGUCACUACAUCAUUUCACAAGACAUAAAUCCAUUACUGAGUUUAGAGGACCUCUCUUCUAUUCA
rnacentral:lncRNA from 1 species